rnacentral:tRNA from 1 species
AGGUAGGGUGGCCGAGUAGGCGGCGAGUUGUAGCCUCGUGUACGGGCGCGUGCGCCCCCCGACCA